UACGUAGGGUGCAAGCGUUGUCCGGAAUUAUUGGGCGUAAAGAGCUCGUAGGCGGUUUGUCGCGUCUGCUGUGAAAACGCGAGGCUCAACCUCGCGCCUGCAGUGGGUACGGGCAGACUAGAGUGCGGUAGGGGAGAUUGGAAUUCCUGGUGUAGCGGUGGAAUGCGCAGAUAUCAGGAGGAACACCGAUGGCGAAGGCAGAUCUCUGGGCCGUUACUGGCGCUGAGGAGCGAAAGCGUGGGGAGCGAACAGG
rnacentral:rRNA from 1 species